ACGGGAGGCAGCAGUGGGGAAUAUUGGGCAAUGGGCGAAGGCCUGACCCAGCAACGCCGCGUGAAGGAAGAAGGUCUUCGGAUUGUAAACUUCUUUUAUGAGGACGAAGGACGCGACGGUACCUCAUGAAUAAGCCACGGCUAACUACGAGCCAGCAGCCGCGGCAAUACGUAGGUGGCGAGCGUUAUCCGGAUUUACUGGGUGUAAAGGGCGCGUAGGCGGGGAUGCAAGUCAGAUGUGAAAUCUAUGGGCUUAACCCAUAAACUGCAUUUGAAACUGGAUCUCUUGAGUGCUGGAGAGGUAGAUGGAAUUCCUUGUGUAGCGGUGAAAUGCGUAGAUAUAAGGAAGAACACCGGUGGCGAAGGCGGUCUACUGGACAGUAACUGACGCUGAGGCGCGAAGGCGUGGGGAGCAAACAGGAUUAGAUACCCUGGUA
rnacentral:rRNA from 1 species